rnacentral:hammerhead_ribozyme from 1 species
AUCCAGCUGAAGAGUCCCUAAAAAGGACGAAACGCACGUCAAACUGGAU